ensembl:snRNA U1 U1 spliceosomal RNA
AUACUUACCUGGCAGGGGCGAUACCUAUGAUCACGAAGGUGGUUCACCCAGGGUGAGGCUCUGCCAUUGCACUUGGGUGGUGCUGACCCUUGCGAAUUCCCCAAAUGCGGGAAUCUCGACUGCAUAAUUUCUGGUAGUGGGGGACUGCGUUCGCGCUCUCCCCUG